GCAAGGUCAGAGAAGGAUAUAAUC
rnacentral:miRNA from 1 species